CUCUUUAUAAGUCAGUAGGUUCAGGUGUUUGUUAGAGUAAAGAGAAGAUGAACAAAAGAUAGCAGAUAAUGGAAGGAUUGGAUAAAAAGCUGAUGAGCCUCAAAGAUUCACCAUGUUUUCUUUUUAUGAUGGCCUCAGUUGAGGAGACUUCGACUUUGCUGCUGUUUUGUUCCUGUGUCAAUCAUAGUCAUGGCUGUAGUACACUGCAGCUUUUACACACUUGCUUAAUAAAUUAGCAUUCUGUCCUGAUUGAAUCAUUGGGUGGAAACAUCAAAUUUACAUGUCAAGUAGAAGAGAGAAGAAGGGAGGAACUCAGAACAUUGAGAAGAAAAGGCAACAACUUCAGUGUAUUACAGUCGGCUGGGGAAACAAAAAGAAUUUUCAUUUUCAUUCUAAAUCAAGGAUUGGUGAAUAGGAAUAAUCCAAGUGGAUGGAGAAAGCCUUCGCUCUUUUUGUAGGGCACUAACCUGUUAAGAAGUUUAGAAGGCCAAUGGCUGUCCAUUUGCCACAAGGAUCGUUGGAAAGACCUUUCAGUCAGCUUGACAUUUUUUGCAUCUGAAUAAAAGAAGCUUUAUGCCUGAAGGAUCCAUCAUUCUCAGGGGUAUUGGGAUGAGAAAAUGACAUAACAGAUGUGAACACAUUUCGAAAAUAAAGGCAAUAUAUAAAUGUGA